UACCAGAAGUUGGGAAAGAGGGGAAAUGC
rnacentral:piRNA from 1 species